GAGGAGACCCUUGGGAACGGGGAAGUGGAGAAGCCAGGCCCCAGGGUCCUUUGGCAUGAUCAUGAAAUAUCUUUUUUCUUUGAGAAAUGCAGCCCCUGGCUCCAAUCAGCUAAUUUUCAAACCUUUGAUCCAUUGAUCCAUUGGGCAGUCUGGGCUUGCUUGGUUCUUGGUUCAGUGACAGACAGCAGAGGGUGAGAGAAAUGGCACAGGGCUGAGAGCCAUGAAGUCACUGGGCAUAGGUGAACGGUGUGACCACACCAGGCCAGGGAAGAAACACGUGCCCAGCCUGCCAUCUGCCCUCCUGUCUUGGAGCCAGGUCUUUCCACCAGCUUCCUUCAUCUUUUAACACUUGGUGAAAAGGAAUGACACGUCAGUCAAAGCCCCUGGCCGGUGCUCAUGGAGCAUCUGGCAGGAGGAAGCCCCUUCCUGGCUGGCCUCCCAUUCAUCAGUCAGCGCCGCAGGCUGGGCCAGGGACAGCUGUGGAACCUGAGCUGGGAGGCAGCUGUGAAAGGCAAGAAACAAGGAAAGGGGACAGAAGUCACCCGGUCGGUGAGCCAGCUCGGAGGCAGGCAGAGAAAGCAAGAGAAGGGGCCUCUCCUGCCGUCAUCCUAACCUCCCAGGUCCUCCCCAAAGGCUCCCAGCCCUUCCCCAGACACUCCCCAGUCUCCUCCCUGUCCCCACCACCAUCCCUCUGGCCCUGAUUUACAGCUGGGCAGUCACGGGACAGAUUCUGGUUAAGCCUCAGAAACAUACACCCAGCAAGGGGUUUGGAUUUUCUCCUUCCUACCCUCCCUCGAGACUCUUCCGUGGAGGAGGAAGAGAAGCAGAUCCAGCCUGGAGAAGCCAGGCCCCGAGGCCCUCUGGCACCCUGACUCCAGCACCCUGGUCUAACAUGCAGUAGGAGAAAUGAGGUCUGGAAGGGUGAACAGGCAGCCGGCCCCCCAUGAGGCCUUGACCUCAGGCCCCGGCUGGGUUGGCAACAGCUCUUCUUGGCUCAGACAGGCUCCCUUGGAAACAAACCUCUGUUACUCACUUCUUUCCUCUAGUUGGCUGACAAGGGAGCCGAAGCUGUUGGCUCAAAUCUUUUUUUUUCUUUUUAACCUCU
rnacentral:lncRNA from 1 species